AUGUGACGAUUGGACUUCUCAACAUAUCUUCUCCCUCACCCGUGAACGAAGACGGCGGCGCGAUGUUGCUUCUUCUUCUCCGAUCAACUCUCGUCCUCCGCCAUCGCGAACAACCGAUGAACAACGCAUUCACUACCUUGCCUUCCUCUCGCCCGAUUCGUCAUCUCUUCGCUUAGCUCGACGACUCGUUUCUGCUCAAAUUCAAAUCCUCUCCGAUUCAACUCCGUCCACCCUUCUCCGAAUCGAUCUCUCUCACCACGAAUCUUCAAUACUGAUGACACGAAAAACCGGCAAAUGAACUUCGCGUUCUUCAGGUGAUGAUGAAGUUCGUUGUCUACUUGAUGAAGGCGACGGAGCGAAUAAGAAGAUUGAAGGUUGACGAGAGGUUGGUUGAAGAUGAAGGUUCUGAGAUGCGAUGGAGAAUCUAAGGAGAAAGAUGAUUCUGAGUUUAGAGAGGAAGAUUGACGAUGAUGAAGAUAUAGAGAUGAUGAAGAUUCAGAUUGAAGAUUAUGGAGGUUGAAGAAUUGGUGGUGAAGAUUGGAGAAGAUGAAGUUUGUUACUGAUUCUUGUUGGUUAUGGAGAGGCUUGAAGGUGUGAAAAAUGGUGAGAUUGAAGAUUGGUUAGAGAAGAUUCUGGUGAUUUGAGGUGUGAAGAAGCUCAAGAGGGAUUGUUCUGAGAAUUGAAGGAUGGAGAGAGCAUUGGUGUGUAGCUCUGUGGUAUGAAGUGUUGAUGGUGAUGAAUGGAGCAAUGAAGAAUGGUUGAAGUGAGGAUGGAGAUGAAUGAAUUGUGAAGAGAAGAAGAAGAUGCAGAGCAAAAUGGUGGGGACUGAUAAAGAUGUGUGUGAAUUGUGGAGAGGCUGAAUUGAGGAAUGUGGUUCUGAUUUAUAGAGGUGGAGAGAAGCGAUUCUGAAGGUCUGUUUUUGAGGUGCUGCAAGUCUGUGAAUGUUUGAUGGCAGCUCCGGUUUUAUUUUGCGGGUUUUGAGUGGUAAGCUGGAUUUAUUUUCUGGAUAAUGUAGAAUUUAUUGUAGCUUUGUUCUGAAUGUGGGACGGUGUAUUUGAUUGUGUCAGAAUUAACAUAAGCUAGCUUGAUUUGAAUUGGCACAGGUUUUC